rnacentral:rRNA from 1 species
GCGGUUUUAAUUGGAUUCAACGCCGGAAUCUUACCGGGACCGACAGCAAUAUGAAGGCCAGGCUGAAGACUUUGCCGGAUUAGCUGAGGGGUGGUGCAUGGCCGUCGUCAGUUCGUACUGUGAAGCAUCCUGUUAAGUCAGGCAACGAGCGAGACCCACGCCCACAGUUGCCAGCGUACUCUCUGGAGUGACGGGUACACUGUGGGACCGCCGCUGCUAAAGCGGAGGAAGGAAUGGGCAACGGUAGGUCAGUAUGCCCCGAAUAUCCCGGGCUACACGCGAGCUACAAUGGUUGGUACAAUGGGUAUCUACCCCGAAAGGGGACGGGAAUCUCCUAAAACCAAUCUUAGUUCGGAUUGAGGGCUGCAACUCGCCCUCAUGAAGCUGGAAUCCGUAGUAAUCGCGCUUCAACAGAACGCGGUGAAUACGUCCCUGCUCCUU